AACGAACGCUGGCGGCAUGCCUAACACAUGCAAGUCGAACGAGACCUUCGGGUCUAGUGGCGCACGGGUGCGUAACGGGUGGGAUACUGCCCUUAGGUUCGGAAUAACUCCCCGAAAGGGGUGCCAAUACCGGAUAAUAUCUUCGGACCAAAGAUUUAUCGCCGUUGGAUGGGCCCGCGUUGGAUUAGCUAGUUGGUAGGGUAAAAGCCUACCAAGGCGACGAUCCAUAGCUGGUCUGAGAGGAUGAUCAGCCACACUGGGACUGAGACACGGCCCAGACUCCUACGGGAGGCAGCAGUGGGGAAUAUUGGACAAUGGGCGAAAGCCUGAUCCAUCAAUGCCGCGUGAGUGAUGAAGGCCUUAGGGUUGGAAAGCGCUAUUACCCGGGAUGAUAAUGACAGUACCGGGAGAAUAAGCUCCGGCUAACUCCGUG
rnacentral:rRNA from 1 species